AUAAUUUCCAAAAGUAUUAAAUAUGCCACAUUUUGGAACGAUACAGAGAAGAUUAGCAUGGCCCCUGCACAAGGAUGACACGCAAAUUUGUGAAGCAUUCCAUUAAAAA